rnacentral:rRNA from 1 species
CCUACGGGCGGCAGCAGUGGGGAAUAUUGGACAAUGGGGGGAACCCUGAUCCAGCCAUGCCGCGUGUGUGAAGAAGGCCCUCGGGUUGUAAAGCACUUUCAGUGAGGAAGAACGCUUGGUGGUUAAUACCCAUCAGGAAAGACAUCACUCACAGAAGAAGCACCGGCUAACUCCGUGCCAGCAGCCGCGGUAAUACGGAGGGUGCGAGCGUUAAUCGGAAUUACUGGGCGUAAAGCGCGCGUAGGUGGCUUGAUAAGCCGGUUGUGAAAGCCCCGGGCUCAACCUGGGAACGGCAUCCGGAACUGUCAAGCUAGAGUGCAGGAGAGGAAGGUAGAAUUCCCGGUGUAGCGGUGAAAUGCGUAGAGAUCGGGAGGAAUACCAGUGGCGAAGGCGGCCUUCUGGACUGACACUGACACUGAGGUGCGAAAGCGUGGGUAGCAAACAGGAUUAGAUACCCGAGUAGUC